rnacentral:rRNA from 1 species
AUUGAACGCUGGCGGCAUGCUUUACACAUGCAAGUCGAACGGUAACAGGCCUUCGGGUGCUGACGAGUGGCGAACGGGUGAGUAAUGCAUCGGAACGUGCCCAAUCGUGGGGGAUAACGUAGCGAAAGUUACGCUAAUACCGCAUAAGCCCUGAGGGGGAAAGCAGGGGAUCGCAAGACCUUGCGCGAAUGGAGCGGCCGAUGUCAGAUUAGCUAGUUGGUGGGGUAAAGGCCGUACCAAGGCGACGAUCUGUAGCGGGUCUGAGAGGAUGAUCCGCCACACUGGGACUGAGACACGGCCCAGACUCCUACGGGAGGCAGCAGUGGGGAAUUUUGGACAAUGGGCGCAAGCCUGAUCCAGCCAUGCCGCGUGCGGGACGAAGGCC